CACAGACAACACCAAAAUAAUGAUGUCCGCCAGAGAACUACAAGCGAAAAACUAGAAACUCAAAGGACUUGGCGGUGCUCCACACCACCCUAGAGGAGCCUGUCCUAUAAUCGAUACCCCACGUUUUACCUUACCAUCUUUUGUAAUUCAGUCUAUAUACCGCCGUCGCCAGCCUACCUUAUGAAAGAAAUAAAGUAAGCAAAACAGUUAACAACUAACACGUCAGGUCAAGGUGUAACACAUAUGAUGGAAGAGAUGGGCUACAUUUUCUACCAAAGAAAACACGAAUGGUAAAAUGAAACACACACCUGAAGGAGGAUUUAGCAGUAAGAUAAACAAGAAAUUUUAUCUUAAACCCGCUCUGGAGCGCGCACACACCGCCCGUCACCCCU
rnacentral:rRNA from 1 species